rnacentral:lncRNA from 1 species
CAGGUCAGUGGUUCAGGGUCUGCGUGUUGAAGGCAAGGUUGGAAAUAAAGACGUUCCUGAUGUGCCUCACCCUCCACAAACAGGUAGGCGUGGGUUUACCCACCAUAUUUUCCAUAUCAUUGAAUUUCUGCUACAGGUUUCGUAUUGCUAUUGCAACUUAUCGUCACCCAAUGAUUUGGGUGGCGGGUAUUUGGAUCUGGGGCUGGGAGGUCUAGUUGCUGCAAUCACAGGGCUGUCCUCCUGGCACUUGGAGCUCAGGUGAGGAUAGCCCACGUCAGUCAUGCCCAACAGCCCCUCUUAGACCCUGGGGAGUCACCUAAUGUCAGAGACCAAAAUAUCCGGGUACCAUCUAGUCCAACUCCCUCAUUUUACAGAUGGGCAAACUAAGGCCCAAUGGUCUGGUGUCACUAUGACAUGGUGAGUUGAUGGCUACACAAAGGCAUGAAUUUGGGUCCCGUGAAUCUUAGUCCAAAAACUGCCAUGUUGCUCUUUAAGUCUGAAAAGAAUAGAGAUAAUAUUAACACAUUCUCUGAAGUCUUCAUUACCUUAAAAAGGAGAGAGACAGAAAAGAUAAAGAUAAAGAAGGAAGCCAUGUGUAAGAGUGAGCAGGGGGCAGAGAGGUCUGGGCUCAAGCUCUGAGAGGACGCACGACGUGGAUCGGCCACGAAGUUGACGAGUGGACUCGGGAUUUACCUAAUGUUCUUGAGCCUUAAUCCUCAUCUUUAAAACAGAGACAUAGUGCCUACUUCACAGAGUUGCGUUAGGAUUAAAGGAGAUAAUACUCAGGUCCUGGCACACACAAAAUGCUUAAUAAAUAUUGGCUCUUGUUACAUCCCCAGUGCAGACAUCCAAGGACUUAAAUAGACUGCCAAGGCAUCUGUCCUGGGGGGCCUGUCCUUAAGCCAAACUUCCUCCUUGCCAACUCCUCUCUUCCGGUCCAGGACCCUGGCUGCCCACACCCUCCCUCUCAUCCCUCCAAACAAGACAGUCAUGACAAUGUUAGUGCCCAGCUCCACGGGAUCUUUCCAGAGGGGAGGCAACCUACUGACUAGAAACGAAGUUGCAAAAGGACAUGGGAUAAAGGGUGCUUUUAGCAAAUGACAAUGAGAAAGUUAGGAGAGUGACCUACAGGGUUCCUUGCAUCUGUUAUUACAAUGCUGGGUUAUGUAAUAAAGCCUUUAUGGUAUAGGGAGUAUAAAAUACAAUCACCAGCAUGCCAGUCUCCAUGGAAGUUAGAAUGGCAGCAAAAUCGGGGCGCCUGGGUGGCGCAGUCGGUUGGGCGUCCGACUUCAGCCAGGUCACGAUCUCGCGGUCCGUGAGUUCGGGCCCCGCGUCGGGCUCUGGGCUGAUGGCUCGGAGCCUGGAGCCUGUUUCCGAUUCUGUGUCUCCCUCUCUGUCUGCUCCUCCCCCAUUCAUGCUCUGUCUCUCUCUGUCCCAAAAAUAAAUAAAUGUUGAAAAAAAAAAAAAAUUUUAAAAAAAAAAAAAAAGAAUGGCAGCAAAAUGAAUGCCCGUUACUCUUCUCUUCCCUUGCAUAAGUCAUCAGACACCUGGCUUAGUGCAUAAGGUUGGUUUUCUCCCCUCCAAGACCAUUAAAACUGUCCCAUAGAAGGUGAUUUAAGUGGCAUUCUGAUCACUAGUUCUCUGCUCGGUUACUGUACAAUGAUAAUUAAUAUUUAUAAAGAUGACCCUGAUUUAACACAUAAAGAUCAAAUUAAUAUUAAUCAAUAUAAAUAAUAUAAGUUAAUAUACAUAGUAUUAAUUCAAUACGGUUUUCAGGAGAAAUGCGUUCGAUCACGUUCUGAGUCUCCAAAAGUCGACCACAUAUUCAUCACGCAUGUUAACCAGAACACCCUAUUUUCUGGCUAUAUCAGAAAAUAUAAUUCACUCUUUUUCUUAAACUCCAGAUUUGCAGUUUUCCUUUUGAGUCCCCAUUUAUCUUCUUACGAAACAUGCGCCCGAGAGGAUGACAGGAUAACAUUUUCUCAAGACAAUGUUUGUUUUUGCAGAGUGUGUCCCUGAUACUGGAUACCACCCGGCUGCUGGAGACCCUUGGGCUCAGAGUCUGAGGCUCUGACGUUGCAAUUCAAACCCCAAAGCGCAGCGGAUUUUCAUCUGGGUUUCAGAGGAGGCAUUAUCUUCACUUUGUUUCUGGACACUGGAGCUGAACCCCCUCCCCCAGAGAUAAGAACAAACAGAAUGUGUUCUGUCUUCCCAAAGAUGCUACAUCAGCAUGUAUUUUCCACUUAAGGCUUUUAAGCAUUUGACUUACACAUUUAUGAACACCCCCAGUGGACCGUUAGGGUUUGGUUUAAUCCCCAAGAAAACUGGCAUUAAAAUAGACCUUUUCCCGGCAAUAAUAAUCUCAUUUACGAUAAAUUAUUCUAUUCUCAGUACCUUUGAGACACAUGAGAGCUUUUAUGUAAUAAAGAAGCCAUUUAUUUCCGAAUAUUUUAAUGCAUGUUUCCAUAUUUUUCUCAUUUUUAAUGCAAGGGCCACCGACAGUAUUGUAAGAGAAUGUCUUUUAAAAGCAAAUUUAUGGCAAAUGUUCCAGGGAAAUGGACGGCAGCAUGCAUCAUCGCACAGCUAUACCACGAGAGGAACAGGACAGAGAUGUUCUAAUUCUCAUUUAUGUGCAUAAAAGAGUAACCUCUACAGAGAAAGACAAUGUUAUUGAGUAAAUUGAUAAGAUAUGGAAGACCUCGAUUCAAUUUGGACUCCAACCUUUGAUGUGCUAUAUGUACUCAGCUAUUGCUAUGUCUCAUAUGCCUGAAAUACAGGAGGCAAAGGGACGGAUGUUGGGGAAGAUCGUGAUGACCACCGAGGAAAAGAAAGUCAAGUCGGAGCCUUUAUGUGUUAACUGGACAGAAACCUUGUUUUGAAAGGCCAGGGAAUCAAGGAGCAGAUAGGACGGGCCCUGCUAGAAGUUCGAUUACCUUGAUUUUCGAAACUUUCAUUUCAGAACUACUCAUCUGGGUGCCAUCUGUCUGAAAAGCCACCAAGAUGGCGAUUCUCACUUGGGAAGGUGGUGGCAGGGUCUGGCUGCGGAGACGGUGUCAGAAUCAAAAUACACACGCCUCUGGUUCGGUGAUUUUAAUUUAUGCUAGACUCCUGGAGCAGAAAAGCACUUUGAGGAAUCUCAGAUGUGCAAUUCUGAUAUGCUUCCUGAUUAAGAACCACUGCACUAGCGUAAGUGUGAGAUUUACUUCAAGCACCAUCGUAUGUACUUAUCAGAGACAAGAAAGUGAACCUGGGACAUGAGCUGUACAGCACUUCUGGGAUAAGAAGCCAACCCUCAUGGGUAGACCUCCCACAGGAAAUGUCUAAGGAGGCUGGGACCAUGGGGACUGAUGGCUCAGAGCUGCACUAAUGGCAGCCAGUGGCACGUAUAGCUGCGGAGCACUCGAAAUGGGCCAGUGCAAAUUAAGAUGUGUUGUAAGAGUAAACUACGUAUUAAAAGUUAUUAUUUUUUCAAAUUUUUUUAACAUUUGUUUAUUUUUUGAGAGACAGACAGUGAGUGGGCAAGGGGAAAUGAGAGAGACAGGGAGUCACAGAUUCCAAAGCAGGCUCCAGGCUCUGUGCUGUCAGCACAGAGUCCGACAGGGUCUCAAACUCACAAACCGUGAGAUCGUGACCCGAGUCGAAGUCAGACGCCCAACUAACUGAGCCACCCAGGCGCCCCAGAGAUUUUAAAAUUUAGUACAAAUUAAAAAACAUGUUAUCGCAUGAAUAAUUUUUUUAAUAAAGCUUAUUUUAUUUUUGAAGGGACAGAGACAGUGCAAGUGGGAAGGGGCAGAGAGAGAGGGAGACAGAGACUCAAUCCCACGCAGGCUCUGUGCUGCCAGCAUAGAGCCUGACAGAGGGCUCGAACCCACAAAACCACGAGGUCAUGAGCUGAGCCUAAACCAAGAGUUGGACACUUAACCGACCAAGCCAGCCAGGCGCCCCUAGUGAAUAAUUUUUUUUAUAUUAAGUAUAUGUUAAUCUGAUAACAUUUUGGAUAUUGG